UCUUCUUUUCCCUCUGUCUACCACGCGCGCGCCCGCCGCUACCUGCCUCGCCGCCAGCCCGCCACCAGCGCCUCGCCGCCACCUCGCGCCCGCCCCUCUGCCCCACCGCGCGCCUGGGCAGGGUGGUACCGCGCGGUGCUCGCCAUCAAGCGCCGCUGCGACGAGCAUCUCGACCCGCAGCCGAGGAACCCCUUUCUCGGCGUGCCCAAGUCCUUCCCCGGCGUCAAGCCGGAGCUCUGGGACGGGAUGCGGCCCCGCCUCGCCGCCCUCCGACCCGACGGGCCCAUUUCGUGCCGGUUCCUGGCCGACCUCCCUACCGUGCUUGUAGUGGGCGACUCGAUGUUCGUCCAUGGGGGGCUCCUCGAGGCCAACGUCGAGUACGGCCUUGAGCGGAUCAAUGCGGAGGUCAGCGAGUGGGAGCAGAGGGAAUCCCAUGUGUCCGCCCCUCGCUGGAGUAGAUCCUCGGCGAGCCGGCGUGGAGCUGUCGCGGUAGAAAGCCAGCUGAGCCUGAUCCGCCCGCAGCCCGAUCGGGAUCGAUGGGUGGGGAGGCGCCGGAGCCGCGAUGGCUGACCCGCGCUUUGAGCAUCGGUGGCGGUGACGGCGGCUGGGUUCCCGAAUCCCGAUGAGAUGCUGCAACUUGAGAUGGGGGUUUGUUGAGGACCCGCGCGACCGGGAGGUCGCGUCGCUGGUGUGUCGCCGGUGGCACCGCGUCGACGCGCUCUCGCGGAAGCACGUGACGCUGCCCUUCUGCUAUGCCGUGUCCCCGAAACGCCUGCUCGCGCGGUUCCCGCGGCCCGAGUGGCUCGCGGUGAAGGGGAAGCCCCGCGCGGCCAUGUAGGGGCUCAUCCGUGCCAGGGGGCACAUGCUGCAGGAGCUGAAGCUCGACAAGUGCACCAGCUUCUCCACGGAUGGACUCUGCCCCGUCGACCGCUCAUGCAGGUACUCGUAUUCCUCGAUUCUCCUGCUCUUGUUUUAGCUCCGAUCUGAGUGUUGCAGGAAGUAAGAUCGAAUUGGGGCUACUGAGAUGGUGACAAUAAGGGGGCGUAGCUACUGUCAGUCCAGUCGUUGAUUCCCCGAAAUAUAUAUGUUUUAAUAUGUCAUGCCGCUACUUUAUAUAUUUGUGCCCUAAUUCAUUUGAAUCCCUGUUUUUUUGUUUUAAAAUGUGGUAUUACAUAGGAAAAUAAAUAUAUAUGUUUUAAUAUGUGGCACUUCUCAUAAUGGUACUAGAUUUAGAUGAUUUACUAUCUUUUUUAUAAAGAAAACAACAAGCCACUUCGUUCCUAGUGGAAUUAAUUAUUUCCGAGUAUUGGAUUUAGCUGAAGCUACUUUAGUUUAUCAAUACAUGUAAAUCUUUCUUGUAAUAGCGUGUUAUGAGGUAAGAUGUUCAAAAAGGAUGAAAACGAAAUGAAUUUAAAUAGUUGAUCAAUCUCAUGUUUCCAAUUUUUGAGCGAGUCAAGCAUCUUUAAUUUAAUGAUAUACUAACAUUUUGUGACAUCAACCUUCAUUUUUAGCCUAUUUGUUACAAAAUUGACUACAUGUAACGACACUCUGUUUUCAGUCUUACAAAAUGGUUUCCAUUAUAUGGUAAGUAUAGUGAAUUUUUGGAUGCCCUACUUUAUUUCUGGGAAAUAAUUACCAUGAUUAUCAUGGUAUCUUAUUAUCUUGUCCAUGGAUGUUUUGGGUACAUCAACAUUAGUCAAGUUAGGCCUUGUUUGGAACCUCUAGAGCUAAUAGUUAGCCAGCUAAUAAAUUAUUAGCUGGGUUGAGCUAGCUAAUGAAUUAAUUGUUAGCUUGAGGUUGCUAACAAUUAGCUGUGGUAUUAACUGAUGGUGUUUGGAACCCAACAACUAAUUUUUAGUAGCUAACUAUUAGUUUUAGAGGUUCCAAACAGUGCCUUAAUAAUGUUUUAGUAGUUCUGAAGUGCUUGAUCAGUCCUUGUGUAUCUGACACUAGAUGCUGUAGCAUUAUACCACUGUCGUACAAUAUUUUCAUUACCUCUUUUAGAUUUGACUCCUAGACUGUUGCAGGAAAGGUGACUAUUACCGUUACUUGGCUGAAUUUAGCACUGGAACUGAAAAGAAAGCUGCCUCUGAUCAGUCACUUAUGGCCUAUCAGCAUGCCAUGGUUGUCGCCUCCAGUGAGCUCUCACCUGCUCAUCAAAUCCGGCUUGGCCUUGCCCUCAAUUUGUCAGUCUUCUUUUAUGAGAUAAUGAACUCCCAUGAGAGGUCACUCAUCUUCAAUGCCUUGUUUCUCCCUUUUUAUUGAUGUUUCAAAUUCAUAGAUAUUCCUAUCCAAUCAUAUUUCAUGUUUUGAAAAAUGGGCUUUCUUGCCAAGUGGUGACUAUUUUCAAAUAAACCAUUCACCUGCUGUAGAUGCUUUCUAAGUUAAGUUAUUUUGUUUAAACCUCACGAGACAUUUAUCCAUUUGCACAAUUAAACCUCACAAAUGCAUUGUUUAUUGAAAAAUGCAUGUUACCAUUCGAAUGCACUGGAUGCUAGUUGGGUACAUGAUAGAUUCGUUGGUUCUGGCCUCUCUUUAGAAAGCCAUUUGAUAUUAUGUUAGUUUUUCCCCUCAUGUUGGAAACUGCAUGUUGGCCCCACAUGUUAGAUGUGGUACCAUCCCAGUAUGCUGCUUGACAAGUAACUAGUUUUUAACAGAAUCAAGUUCAGUCUCUAAGUUUCAUGGUCACCUCUCUUUUUCAGAGCUUGCUAAGUGGCAAAACAAGCAUUUGAUGAGGCUCUUACUGAGAUAAAUUCUGGUGAGGGAGUUUACAAGGAUAGCACACUUAUGAUGCAACUUCUGAAGGACAACUUAGCAAUGUGGACAUCAGAACUAACUGGAGGUGAAGCAUCCAAGGGUAACGACGAUGUCGACAUGGAGGGUUGAUUGAUUGGUAUAUAUAUGCUCUCAAGUAAGGAAACACAGAACGCACGCAAAAAUAUCCAGGCUGUGAUGCUAGCGAACCUGGGUCAGGUUCCUCAAGUUUUUUCUGCAUCGGAACUCAGAAGAGCCUUGUGUAUUUUUUUGGAGGUCUGUUCCUCUCUUUUGGCCAUCGUUUGGUCCUGGAGUCAGUCACUCACUACCAAGUGUUUCAAAGGUCUGAACUGGUCAGCAUCCAGAUCUGUUGUUGCUUUUUUUCUACUGUGCUUUAGAGGCAUCUUUGUACACCGUUGGAAAACUGUUUCUCUUAUCAACGCAUAGACUGUCAGUGCUGGUACUAAUCAUGUUUGGUGACUGAAUUUAUUUCUGUGUCUCAGUCCUUUGCGAAUAUCAAAUGGUACUUUGCUACAGGUCCUUGAUAGAUUUUGUUUCUUUUUUCCUUAUCGUGCAGUGGCAAAGGUUAUUUUCAGGGGGCAAAACUAAUGGUUAUAAUUUUUUUUCCAUAGUUGGCAGGUGUAUUUUCAGGGGAUGUUGCUUGAGCCCAAAUGGAUGACAGCAGAAGUGUGAUCUGACGUGCGCUCAGCUUCACCAACACACUGAUUCUUGAAUGCAUUAAGCAUAGUGCACAAGCAGUUAUUCAUGAUAAGAAAUCUUUUGCUCAAAUGUAGCUAAUUAGCACUUCAUACAUUCUGGUACAAUCUCCAAUUCUUGUGAACUUAUGUAUUUGGACUGUCAAUUUGUGAUAUGAAUAUAUAUCAAUGUGUUUGAAAUUUGUAUUGUA